rnacentral:rRNA from 1 species
AUGCAACGUUAUGGAUACCAUGACCGAUCACCAUCGAGAAAGAAGAAUUUUGAUAAAUCACUUCGGGUGAGCGGGGCCUUCAAGCGGCCUCAAUAUGCCGGGGUUGUAAAUGACAUACCUUUCCUUUCCCGCUCUGACGGCCCGACGAGUCAUCUACUAAAAAGGACCCUCCCCGCUGUGCGCCCCUCCUUGAAUUAUUCGGUCAUGCAAUACUUUUUUAAUACUAAGAAUAAAAUGCAUUUCGACCCCGUCCUAGUUCUCAAUCAUUUCGUGGCACCGGGUGUGGCUGAACCAUCUACGAUGGGGGGAGCGAAGGGAGGAAGCUUAGAUAAGAGAAUACGCUCUCGCAUCGCUUUUUUUUAG